rnacentral:rRNA from 1 species
GAGUUUGAUCUUGGCUCAGAUUGAACGCUGGCGGCAGGCCUAACACAUGCAAGUCGAGCGGAUGACGGGAGCUUGCUCCUUGAUUCAGCGGCGGACGGGUGAGUAAUGCCUAGGAAUCUGCCUGGUAGUGGGGGACAACGUUUCGAAAGGAACGCUAAUACCGCAUACGUCCUACGGGAGAAAGCAGGGACCUUCGGGCCUUGCGCUAUCAGAUGAGCCUAGGUCGGAUUAGCUAGUUGGUGGGGUAAUGGCUCACCAAGGCGACGAUCCGUAACUGGUCUGAGAGGAUGAUCAGUCACACUGGAACUGAGACACGGUCCAGACUCCUACGGGAGGCAGCAGUGGGGAAUAUUGGACAAUGGGCGAAAGCCUGAUCCGACGCCAUCGCCGCGUGUGUAGAAGGU